UGUUUUUAGUACUAUUAUUUGUGUUCGCCGACAAUUGCCUGUCCGAUUACUUAGCAAGGUGUGCGUCGUCAACCAUGAUGCCAAAAAUUUUAUAUACGGCCUAUUCUAUAACAAUAACAACUAAUGAAAGCAUAUACCAUUAGUGGUACAAAUGCCAUGUAAUCUACAAAUUCGACCAUUUUUUCUGCAGUGAUGAUAAUCAAAAGAUUGUUGACAAAUUGGUAUUCCUUCUUCAUUAAUUAUGCAACCAACUGUAGAGCCACAGCAUAAACCUCGAAUAGAACACUUACUUUUUUCAUCGAAUUCGCAAGAAGGACACUAUCAAAUAUUAAAUAAAUUAAUUUUAUAAGUUUAUUAACAGGCCGAGACAAAAAGUUUACAUUCGGCGGACAAUUUGUAAUAAAACAAGCACUAGUCAAAACGAUAAGCAUUGAAAAGAACAAAGGAGAAUGCAUAACUACAGGGGAAUCAAUUCUGCAAAGACAUUAAUAAAUUUCGUAUUUAAUUAAAAAAUUAUAAUUGAAUUUUUAUAUUAAUGAUUGCAGAUCGUUUCGCGAAUCUCGGCCGUGCUGUAAAAAAUGCGCAAUAGCAGGGACCAGUCUAUUUACUUAGUGAAGGGAACGUAUUGUUUGACAAACUGUGACAAGGUCACUUUGUGUAACGAAGAAAGAGACUCUUGAACUUUUAUAAAACUUCUAGACCCCCAACCGAGUACCGCGCAUUGCCUGGCCAAGAUAUAUGAGACGAUCUGUAACAUUAUUUUAUUUUUAAUAAACUAUGUAUUAAUGUUUUAUUUGUUUCAAGAAACUGUUUGUUUUCAUUGAUUUCCUAAGUUUUUGACUUGGUGAUAAAUCAAAUCGCAUACUUCCUUCCAGGAUGUGUGCAACUUCAUACUGU